rnacentral:tRNA from 1 species
UUAACUUUGUUAAUAGAUCUACAGUCUAUCGCUUUAAACUCAGCCACCGAACA